rnacentral:tRNA from 1 species
ACAAAGGCAGUUCAGUGGUAGAAUUCUCACCUUCCAAGUGAGAGACCUGGGUUCUAUUCCCACCCAGUGCA